rnacentral:rRNA from 1 species
GAUGAACGCUAGCGAUAGGCCUAACACAUGCAAGUCGAGGGGCAUCACAUGAAGUAGCAAUACGGAUGGUGGCGACCGGCGCACGGGUGAGUAACACGUAUGCAACCUGCCUUCAACAAGGGGAUAACCCGUUGAAAGACGGACUAAUACCCUAUAACACAGGGGUCCCGCAUGGGAAUAUUUGUUAAAGGACAACCGGUUGAAGAUGGGCAUGCGUUCCAUUAGCUAGUUGGCGGGGUAACGGCCCACCAAGGCAACGAUGGAUAGGGGAACUGAGAGGUUUAUCCCCCACACUGGUACUGAGACACGGACCAGACUCCUACGGGAGGCAGCAGUGAGGAAUAUUGGUCAAUGGACGCAAGUCUGAACCAGCCACGUCGCGUGAAGGAAGACGGCCCUACGGGUUGUAAACUUCUUUUAUACGGGAAUAAAGUGCCCCACGCGUGGGGUUUUGCAUGUACCGUAUGAAUAAGGAUCGGCUAACCCGUGCCAGCAGCCGCGGUAAUUCA